GGAGAAAAGCAGGGGAUCGUAAGACCUCGCGUUAAUGGAGUGGCCGAUAUCUGAUUAGCUAGUUGGUGAGGUAAAGGCUCACCAAGGCGACGAUCAGUAGCUGGUCUGAGAGGACGACCAGCCACACUGGAACUGAGACACGGUCCAGACUCCUACGGGAGGCAGCAGUGGGGAAUUUUGGACAAUGGGCGCAAGCCUGAUCCAGCCAUUCCGCGUGAGUGAAGAAGGCCUUCGGGUUGUAAAGCUCUUUCGCAAGGGAAGAAAACUUAGCUAAUAACACUAGCUGAGGCUGACGGUACCUUGAUAAGAAGCACCGGCUAACUACGUGCCAGCAGCCGCGGUAAUACGUAGGGUGCGAGCGUUAGUCGGAAUUACUGGGCGUAAAGCGUGCGCAGGCGGUUUUGUAAGUCAGAUGUGAAAGCCCCGGGCUCAACCUGGGAACUGCGUUUGAAACUACAAGGCUAG
rnacentral:rRNA from 1 species